GGUGUUUGUAACAGCAACUUGCUGCGAUCGGUGAUAUCGCCACCGAUGUGAUAAGGCAGGCCGCAGUUUGCGAAAGAAACGAAUUCACCACGCUCGAACAUGAUGAUUUGAGCGUCUUCACUUAAUCGACGUGCGCGUGCAGCAGCAGAUGCGCCACCGGCAACACCGC
rnacentral:antisense_RNA from 1 species